AUUGAACGCUGGCGGCAUGCCUUACACAUGCAAGUCGAACGGCAGCGCGGGGCAACCUGGCGGCGAGUGGCGAACGGGUGAGUAAUAUAUCGGAACAUACCCUAGAGUGGGGGAUAACGUAGCGAAAGUUACGCUAAUACCGCAUACGCACUAAGGUGGAAAGUGGGGGAUUCGCAAGAACCUCAUGCUCAUGGAGUGGCCGAUAUCUGAUUAGCUGGUUGGUGAGGUAAAGGCUCACCAAGGCGACGAUCAGUAGCUGGUUUGAGAGAACGACCAGCCACACUGGAACUGAGACACGGUCCAGACUCCUACGGAGGCAGCAGUGGGGAAUUUUGGACAAUGGGGGCGAACCCUGAUCCAGCAAUGCCGCGUGAGUGAAGAAGGCCU
rnacentral:rRNA from 1 species